CCUACGGGAGGCAGCAGUGGGGAAUUUUGGACAAUGGGCGCAAGCCUGAUCCAGCCAUGCCGCGUGAGUGAAGAAGGCCUUCGGGUUGUAAAGCUCUUUCGGCGGGGAAGAAAAGGUACGUGCUAAUACCACGGACUAAUGACGGUACCCGAAGAAGAAGCACCGGCUAACUACGUGCCAGCAGCCGCGGUAAUACGUAGGGUGCAGGCGUUAAUCGGAAUUACUGGGCGUAAAGCGUGCGCAGGCGGUUUGUUAAGACAGAUGUGAAAUCCCCGGGCUUAACCUGGGAACUGCGUUUGUUACUGGCAAGCUAGAGUGUGGCAGAGGGGGGUAGAAUUCCAGGUGUAGCAGUGAAAUGCGUAGAUAUCUGGAGGAAUACCGAUGGCGAAGGCAGCCCCCUGGGCUAACACUGACGCUCAUGCACGAAAGCGUGGGGAGCAAACAGGAUUAGAUACCCUGGUAGUCCACGCCCUAAACUAUGUCAACUGGUUGUCGGGGAAGCAAUUCCUUGGUAACGAAGCUAACGCGUGAAGUUGACCGCCUGGGGAGACGCGCGAGUAAACGUACAAGAAGUAGAGNGNGAGAGNGCGACGACGACGACGAGGGAGAGG
rnacentral:rRNA from 1 species